UAGUAGUCAUACGCUCGUCUCAAAGAUUAAGCCAUGCAUGUGUAAGUGUAAAUAUACUAGUUUGGAACUGCGAAUGGCUCAUUAUAUCAGUUAUAGUUUAUUUGGUGAAGUGUACUACUUGGAUAACCGUAGUAAUUCUAGGGCUAAUACAUGAGAAAGUCCUCUGGUGAGGUGUGUUUAUUAGAAUGAAAACCAUAUGCUUCGGCAUGAUAGUGAGUAAUAGUAACCUAUCGUAUCGCAUGCUUAAUGUAGCGAUGAGUCUUUCAAGUUUCUGCCCUAUCAGCUUUCGAUGGUAGUAUAUGGGCCUACCAUGGCAGUAACGGGUAACGAAGAA
rnacentral:rRNA from 1 species